rnacentral:lncRNA from 1 species
CCCCGCCCUACAACGCCUCACCCUCCGCCUUCCCGGCCGCUUCGACCUACUACCUCCGGCAGUCUUCCACCUCCCCUCGCUGAAGGUGCUCGAACUCCGCCUCCCGGGACGCCUCGAUUGGCCCGCCGCUGCCUUCUUACCUUCUCUACAGAGGCUCGAACUCUCUGACCUUACUUUAUUAUAUCCGGCCACCGAGGACGCGAUCUCGAACAGCUGCCCGGCGCUCAAGUGCUGGCGGAUGUCGUUCGAAUCCGCAACCCCCGAGCUCGAAGUAAAGUGCCCGCUGCUGGAGGUUUUCGAGCUACGGACGCGCGCCGGGCCGAUAGGGGGCCUCAGUAUCUGCGGGCGCAAGAUCAGGAAGGUGAGCGUGCGACAGAAGUACGUUGCUGAAUCCUUCUCCAGGCCGCCGGCGGCGGCUUAUCUGAAGCUGUCAGCGCCCGGGCUCCAGACUCUGGAGUGGUUCUGCCCGCUGCCGCGCUCCGCGACCGUCGACUCCCUCCCGGAUUCUCUCGCCUCCUCCCUCAUGUUACUGACGCCGGGCGAGCUCCUCGAUCUCGACGAGAACAGACUGCCGAACUACGGCCAUGUUCUUCCCCUGCUCAGAGUCGAUCGGUUGGUCCUGCCGCAUUGUUGGAUAAUUGAGGUAUGUGCACGGAGGUUUUAUUUCCUUUCUCUUCCUGGUAGAAAUUUUUUUUUUUUUUUCUUUUCUUUUAGAGUAAGAUAGUAUGCUACCGCGACAUUCUCAUUCAAUUGGAAGGUUAACUUAACAAAAAGAUAAGACAAAAGGCCUCAGCUUACAAUUGACUCCAGGAGAUCCUAGUAGAAAUUAGCAUUUCAAUUCAAUUCGUGUGUAUAUUAGAAAUUGAAGUUAAAGAAGGAUCCUAUCCUUUUCGCGCAGCCAAAUCAAGCAAAUAAUCCCUAAAUGAGAUAAUCUCUCAUCCGUAGAUCGACCAUAAGUAGUAUUAUCUCUUCUUCUUCUUAGCGCACGCCCUAGAGCUAAUGCAAAUGUUAUCCUGAAAUAAAAUUGCAGAUGAUUGGCUAUCGUGGACAAGUUAAUUAGGAAUUAUUUAAGUCUUUUCCUGAAGAGUAAGACGAUCGAAGAGGUUAUGCGAUCAAUUUAAUUUUUAAGUUCUGCGUUGAAACAGCCAUAUGAAGAACGAAACUUGAUUAGAUUGGGCUGACCAAAUAUGAUCAGUUUCAUCAACGUAUAUUCUGGACUGAGCAAAAUUCGAGUGCCCUAUCAUUAUCAACAGGUGAAAAGUGCAAAAGUCUUUGCGCUUCGGAAAGCACUCAGCGACUAUGCUAUAGAAUUGUUCUAGAAAUAAAAAGGCACUUUUAGUUCCACCUUCCGUCGUAUUUUCAAUGAUGGGUGGGUUUCUUAAUGCACAAUCGACGCUAUUAAGCAUGAUUUAGGUUCAAUAAGUGUUGCUCUUUUGUUCAUAUCAUUUCUCUAGUAUUCAAGGGACAUUUAGUUCACUUUAAAAAGAACAAAGGCGAAAGAAUCGACUCUAAUUUUUCGCUUCUGAUACUGUAAAUAUGGCAACACAUUGUAGAUCUUUAGUUAAUUUGCUUAUUGAAAGAAGAUUACAAGUGAAAGAUGGAACAUAUAAAACAUUAUUUAUGGCAAAAUUUGAGGAAAGUAAGGCUCAACCAUGAUCCUGAACAGGAAGGUUAGAUCCAUCUGGGAGCUUAACAGGUGGCAAAGAACUGUGGUUUUGUGAAUCAAAUAAGAUAGAGUGAUUGAAGGUCAUAUGGUCAGAGGCUCCGCUAUCUAGAACCCAUUCAGAAAUUUUAUCAGAAGAUUGAGUAGUCUAACCUGCAAAAUUGGCUAAUGGUGUUUGUUUUUUCAGAAUUGAGCAGAGAAAGAAGUUGAUCAUAUUGUUCUUUCGUAAGGCCAUUGACAAGUGAAAAGGAUGACUCAUAUUGACUUAUGGUGGCAUUAUUUGCUGAAUUUGAUGAGCUUUGACGUCCCUUUGUCGAUCUUCCCUUAUUUGUCCAUCCUUCAGGAUAACCAAUUAACUCAUAACAUCUGUCUCUUGUAUGGUUAGUUUUCUUACAAUGCUCACAGAAGAACUUAUUUCUAUUGGGCACUCGAUCUUCAUCCGUUCCAAAGGUCAUCGAUUUGGUGUUUCUAGUGUUUAAAGCAGCAGCUUCAAUAGUUGGUGCUCGACUUGCAGCUAGAGAUUGCUGUCUCUCUUCGCGAGUCACAAGUGCAUAAACCUUAGCAAGGCUAGGUAGCGGAUCAGUGCUUAGAAUUUGAGAUCGAACAAUGUUGAAUUUUUCGGACAGUCCCAUUAGGAAUUGAUGAACUUUCUCUUUCUCACGUUCAGCAAUGAACUCCUUGGCUGCACCACAAGUACAGUAAGGAACAUUUGAAUAAGUGUUUAGCUCAUCCCAAAAUCCUUUCACCUUGGUAUAGUAUGUCGCAACUAACAUAGUGCCCUGUUGUGUAAUUGCAAGUUCACGUUUCAGUUCAUGGAUACAAGGGGUGUUUCCAUGUGAAAAUCUUUCCUCCAAUAUUUCAAUUCUGUAGCUAAACAAUUAAAUAUUUCUCUAGCUGAAUCAAUAUAAGCAAUGCUAUCAUGUAAUUCUGAAGCUAAAGAAUUAAAAAUCCACGAAACGACCAUGGAAUUGCACUUAACCCAGGCAUGUUCAUCGGGGGAAUCAUCUCCUGGGUUGGCAAGAGCACCAUCAACGAAACGACAUUUAUUUUUGGCUCGAAGCGCAUUUAUCAUUGCACGUCGCCAAGUUGGAUAAUUUUCUCCCUUGAGAAGACAUGAAACUAGAAUUGUGCCAGGAUUGUCAGAUGGAUGAAGAAAAUAUGAAGAAAGCUAAUCAAUAUCAGCGGACGUUUUUGUGGAAGCUUUGGUAGAAGGUAUUUCAGUCAUGACUAAUAGCUAGAGUUUCCAGGGAAGAAGAUGAGUAGGGUAUUAGCAUAGGAUCAUUGCUCUGAUACCAUGUAAAAAUAUUUGCCAAGCUUGCUUUCUCUUCUCUUAUUACAUAUAUAUAUAAGAUACAACCAAUUACAUAGCCUAAACUUUAGGCUUAAGAAAAGCAAGAAAAAGGAAAGAGAUCCUGUCUAAUAGGUACACAAUACCUUCUCACCUAAUUUACAAAAUUUGAUAUCGGAUAACCACGGAUUGAGAUUAGCAAAUAAUAUUUUCAAUAGAUAGUAUGACAUUACAUUUGAUAAUUGAUUACUUCACAGGAUUAAAUAAUGCUAUAAUGCUUAUAAUAAUGAUGCGUAUACAUUUUCUUUUAUCCUCAUAUGAUAUGCUGAAUUAAAUGAAUGCAGGAGUUCAGUGUAGCAAUUUUCCAUCGACACGAUCAAGAAAAUCCGCGUGCUUGGGUGCAUGAGAAUCUCAAGCAUUUGGAAUUGAUUUGUUUCUUCGAAGGAUUUGGCUCGUUGGGUCUUGCCUUCUUGCUCAAGAAUUUCUCUAAACUCGAGACGUUGCGUGUUUCCUGUGUCAAGGAAUCGUCCAUAAAUUAUGUAAGUCGACCAAACCUCAUCACUACCUUGCCUAAAUUAUGCUGCAUUUCGUAGGAUAUACUUUGAAUUUUCAAAGUUUUGAUUUUAUUAGAUAAUAUUAUAAUAUGUUACAUUUAUAUAUUUAAAUUAAAUGUUAACAGUAUUUUAGAUUUGUUUUAUGAUAAAUCUAGUAGUUUUGUAGAAUAUAUAUCAUGCUGUACUUUGAGUUAACAAAUGUUCUAGAAAUAUUAUGAGAAAUCAAAAAGGAGGAAAUUGGAUAACGAAUUCAGAAUUUAUGAAGUUCAAAGAUUUGUGCAUUUUGACCAUUCUUUUGUAUUUCUCCAGUCUUUUAUAUAUAUUCUUUUAUUUUUUUAUUUUUUUUUGUAGGCCAUUCACUAUACAUUAUUUCACAUACUAUUUAAGAGUAAAGGGGCUUUUGGCCGAGGAGGAUACUGGGAUUCUCAUGACUUGUCCCUCAAGCAGUUGGUUCAAGUAUCAGUGCAUGAUUUUUCAGGGGGAAGAUUCGAAUAUGACUUUUUAGAGUUCUUACCUCGAGCGGCAACUUCGUUAAGAAUGAUUACGAUCUCUGCUAAUGGCGAGGAAAUAGUUUUAGAGAAGGUUGAGCAAUUGCGACAAUCUUUUCCACACAUUGAGAUUUUGCUUCAAUUGCAUGGAAGAUAAUUUUGUUACUCUAGAAUCAUUAGCAUGUUAACAAACAAUGCUGACGAUUAGCUAGACAUUUAUUAAUUUGAUUUUAUUUUUAGUUACCUUGAGCUAAUUUAUUGUUGACCAAGGUGUUUUGUGAAAGUUAGUUUGAUUGGAUUAACGAAUCUGUAGAUCCAACGCAACUCAAGUGCAUUGAUGUUUAAGUUUUUUUUAAAUGUAAUUAUUUUUUUGUUGUUUGUUUUGACAUAACUCGUACAGUCUUGAAGUUAAAUUCAAUUAUUUUUUUAUUUGUUUUGAUGUAAUUUGGUGCUGGUGAAAUUAGUUUUUUGAGUUUCAUUGUUUGUUUUGAUAUGAAUAAGUGUUUAGAUUGAGUUUUAUUAUUUUGAUGUAAGUAAGUGGGUGCCAUUAUCUCCUAAAUAUAGUGGUGAACUUACUGCUAUAAAAUUUAACCUAUUAUAUAAUUAAAAUUUUUAUUAUUAUUUAAAGGUAAUUCUAAUUUAUUAUAAAUAAGGUAAUUCUAACCCAUUAUAAAGGAGUAGCGUUUAGGUUUUAAUAUUUAAUAAAUUUUUUAGAGGAGAAAGUCGAGAGUAGCUGAAGUGGAGAUCUAUUAACGUAACUUGAGUUACAUUAUAUUUUUUACUUAGACUAACACAAGUGAUGGAACUUGAGUUCCAUCCCUCCACUUACACUAAAACAAACCGAUCCUAAGUUGCUGGGCUCGACACGGCAUGUCGUGCCCAAAUUUAAAAGCGGGUCGUGUCGGACUGGUCCCUUGCACAUUUCUAAUUUAUAAUCUCAAAAUUAAAGUUUAUAAUUUUAAAUUUUAAUUUUAAAUUUAAUAUUUAAAUUUUUUAGAUUUAAAAUUUGAUAUUAUAUAUUUUCAAUUUUAAAUUUGAUAUUAAAUUUAAUGUUUGGAAUUUAAAAUUUAUAAUUAUAAAAUUUAAAUUUUAAGAUUUUAAAUUUUAAAUUUUAAUUUUUAAUAUUGAGUUUUAAAAGUUAAAAUUUAAAAAUAUAAAUUUAAAAUUAAAAAAUUAAAUUCAAAUCUAAUGAGAGUGGUAAUAUUAUUAUUUUUUAUUUAUAACUGCCCAUUAUUUUUUUUUAUUUCAUCUUAUCUAUUCAAAUAUUAUUUUUCUUAUUUUCAGAAACAACUCAAUUAUUAUUCAAACUUAAACAAUACAUUAAUAAUCUAUUCUCUACAUAUAAAAUCUGUUUGGGGUCAUGUGCGUGUAUACAUACCAAUGCACAUAACAAAUAUUUUAAUAAUUAUUUUAAAUUAAUAUAAAUUUAUAUAUCAUAUUUAUAUGCAAAAUUUAAAUUUUAGAAAGUAAACUCAUUUGUUGUAUACUAUUAAAAAAUAUUUGUCACAUUCUUACUCAAAUUUAAAUAGUUCUUGUCCACAAUAAUUAUAUAGUUAUAUUUUUUUAUUUUAUAAAUAUAUAAUGUAGAUAUAGAUAUACAUUAAAUAUUUUUGUAUAUUUUUGAAUUCAGAUGAAUCCAGAAUUUAAAUACAUAUUUUAAACUAAAAAUAUCAAAAUCUUAAUUCAUGCUUAAUUCAAAAGUUAAAAUUUAAUUUUUUUCAACUUUAAUAAAAAAAAUUUUAAUUAUUAAUUCAAACUUAAUAUCCAAAAAUAAAUUUAAUUGACGAAUAAAAUUUAAAUUUUAAUCUUAAUUUAAAAAUAUAGAAAUUUAAAUUAUAUAAUUAAAUUUCAACUCUAAAUUUUAGAUAAAUAAAAAUUUAAAAUAAAUAAUAUUAAAAUUUAAAUAUAUAUUUGAAAUCAAAUUUAAAUUUGAUUAAUUGAUUGCAAUCAAACAAUAAAAUAUUAGCGGAUAGAAUAGAGAUAAUAUAAUUUUAUUAUUAUAUUAUUUAUUUUAUAUAUAUAAAAAAUUUUAAAAUAAAUCUGCUGAUGGAUGGAAAUUUGAAAUACAUAUGCUAUAGAUAUGAAAUCUACUCGGAGUCGGAUUAAUUCAAUUGUGUGUGUGUGUGUGUAUACAUUUGUGUACAUGUCGCGGACGGCACCGUGUAUUUUCCUAUUUUGAUAAUUCAUCGAUUCGAUUACUGUGGUGGAAAUAAUGGAAGAAGGCGUACCGAGGAAGAGGCGAAGACUUGCGGAGGCCGACCGUAUCAGCGCUCUCCCGGAUCACCUCCUCCACGAAAUCCUCGCCUGUCUUCCCACCCGCAUUGCCGUCAGCGCCUCUCUCCUCUCCCGGCGAUGGCGGGCGGUCUGGACGACGUCCCCCGACGUCUCCUUCACCACCGGCCUCUCCCCCUCCUUCGUCGACUCCGCCCUCCGCCAUCGCGACCCCGCCGUCCCCCUCCGCUCCUUCUCCCUCGUCGCCGCUUCCGCCGACGAAGUCGUCUCCGACCCCGACCCCGCCCUCCCCUUCCGCUCGUGGAUCCUCCGCGCCGCCAGCCCCGCCCUACAACGCCUCACCCUCCGCCUUCCCGGCCGCUUCGACCUACUACCUCCGGCAGUCUUCCACCUCCCCUCGCUGAAGGCGCUCGAACUCCGCCUCUCGGGACGCCUCGAUUGGCCCGCCGCUGCCUUCUUACCUUCUCUACAGAGGCUCGAACUCUCUGACCUUACUUUAUUAUAUCCGGCCACCGAGGACGCGAUCUCGAACAGCUGCCCGGCGCUCGAGUGCUGGCGGAUGUCAUUCGAAUCCGCAACCCCCGAGCUCGAAGUGAAUUGCCCGCUGCUGG